rnacentral:rRNA from 2 species
AUGAACGCUAGCUACAGGCUUAACACAUGCAAGUCGAGGGGCAUCUUAGCUUGCUAAGGGCGACCGGCGCACGGGUGAGUAACACGUAUCCAACCUGCCGUCUACUCUUGGACAGCCUUCUGAAAGGAAGAUUAAUACAAGAUGGCAUCAUGUUCACAUGUUACAUGAUUAAAGGUAUUCCGGUAGACGAUGGGGAUGCGUUCCAUUAGAUAGUAGGCGGGGUAACGGCCCACCUAGUCUUCGAUGGAUAGGGGUUCUGAGAGGAAGGUCCCCCACAUUGGAACUGAGACACGGUCCAAACUCCUACGGGAGGCAGCAGUGAGGAAUAUUGGUCAAUGGGCGAGAGCCUGAACCAGCCAAGUAGCGUGAAGGAUGACUGCCCUUGGGUUGUAAACUUCUUUUAUAAAGGAAUAAAGUCGGGUAUGCAUACCCGUUUGCAUGUACUUUAUGAAUAAGGAUCGGCUAACUCCGUGCCAGCAGCCGCGGUAAUACGGAGGAUCCGAGCGUUAUCCGGAUUUAUUGGGUUUAAAGGGAGCGUAGAUGGAUGUUUAAGUCAGUUGUGAAAGUUUGCGGCUCAACCGUAAAAUUGCAGUUGAUACUGGAUAUCUUGAGUGCAGUUGAGGCAGGCGGAAUUCGUGGUGUAGCGGUGAAAUGCUUAGAUAUCACGAAGAACUCCGAUUGCGAAGGCAGCCUGCUAAGCUGCAACUGACAUUGAGGCUCGAAAGUGUGGGUAUCAAACAGGAUUAGAUACCCUGGUAGUCCACACGGUAAACGAUGAAUACUCGCUGUUUGCGAUAUAAGCAAGCGGCCAAGCGAAAGCGUUAAGUAUUCCACCUGGGGAGUACGCCGGCAACGGUGAAACUCAAAGGAAUUGACGGGGGCCCGCACAAGCGGAGGAACAUGUGGUUUAAUUCGAUGAUACGCGAGGAACCUUACCCGGGCUUAAAUUGAACAGAAUAUAUUGGAAACAGUAUAGCCGUAAGGCUGUUGUGAAGGUGCUGCAUGGUUGUCGUCAGCUCGUGCCGUGAGGUGUCGGCUUAAGUGCCAUAACGAGCGCAACCCUUAUCUUUAGUUACUAACAGGUCAUGCUGAGGACUCUAGAGAGACUGCCGUCGUAAGAUGGAGGAAGGUGGGGAUGACGUCAAAUCAGCACGGCCCUUACGUCCGGGGCUACACACGUGUUACAAUGGGGGGUACAGAAGGCGGCUACCUGGUGACAGGAUGCUAAUCCCAAAAACCUCUCUCAGUUCGGAUCGAAGUCUGCAACCCGACUUCGUGAAGCUGGAUUCGCUAGUAAUCGCGCAUCAGCAUGGCGCGGUGAAUACGUUCCCGGGCCUUGCACACACCGCCCGUCA